GGCUACCGCUAUUGGAGUUCGAUUAAGCCAUGCGAGUCGAGAGUCCUCGGGACUCGGCGUACCGCUCAGUAACACGUGGGUAACCUGCCCUAUGCUGGGGAAUAACCUCGGGAAACUGAGAAUAAUGCCCCAUAGCCCACUACGCCUGGAACGGUGAGUGGGUCAAAGCCCCGGCGGCAUAGGAUGGGCCUGCGCCGUAUCAGGUUGUAGGGGGUGUAAAGUACCCUCUAGCUAUCAACGCGUACGGGUGUUGGGAGACAUUGCCCGGAGAUGGAUUCUGAGACACGAAUCCAGACCCUACGGGGUGCAGCAGGCGCGAAAACUUGGCAAUGCGAGCAAUCGUGACCAGGGAACUCCAAGUGCGUAGGGUAAGACCUACGCUUUUCUUGACUCUUCAAAGGUCUUGGAAUAAGGGGUGGGUAAGGACGGUGCCAGCCGCCGCGGUAAUACCGGCGCCUCAAGUGGUAGUCGCUUUUAUUGGGCCUAAAACGUCCGUAGCCGGUCUGGUGCAUUCGUGGGUAAAUCAACCCGCUCAACGGGUUGAAUUCUGCGAGCACGGCCAGACUUGGGACCGGGAGAGGUGUGGGGUACUCUCAGGGUAGGGGUAAAAUCCUGUCAUACUGAGAGGACCACCUGUUGCGAAGGCGCCACACUAGAACGGAUCCGACGGUCAGGGACGAAACCUAGGGGCACGAACCGGAUUAGAUACCCGGGUAGUCCUAGGUGUAAACGCUGUGGACUUGAUGUUGGGGGCGCUCCGAGCGCUCUCAGUGUCGAAGCGAAGGUGAUAAGUCCACUGCCUGGGGAGUACGGUCGCAAGGCUGAAACUUAAAGGAAUUGGCGGGGGAGCACUGCAACCUGAGGAUUGUGCGGUUU
rnacentral:rRNA from 1 species